rnacentral:rRNA from 1 species
CGGGGGGAGCAAGCGUUGUUCGGAUUUACUGGGCGUAAAGGGCGCGUAGGCGGCCACCGCAAGUCAGUUGUGAAAGCUCUGGGCUUAACCCAGAAAGGUCAACUGAUACUGCGGGGCUAGAGUGCAGAAGGGGCAACUGGAAUUCUCGGUGUAGCGGUGAAAUGCGUAGAUAUCGAGAGGAACACCUGCGGCGAAGGCGGGUUGCUGGGCUGACACUGACGCUGAAGCGCGAAAGCUAGGGGAGCGAACGGGAUUAGAUACCCCGGUAGUCCUAGCCUUAAACGAUGAAUGCUUGGUGUCUGGGGUUUUAUAGUCCCCGGGUGCCGUCGCUAACGCUUUAAGCAUUCCGCCUGGGGAGUACGGUCGCAAGACUG